GUUGCUGUAGUUGAAUACAACGGUGGGUUUUCAGUCCACUGGUCCUGGUUAGAGCCCUGGCAGUAACC
rnacentral:tRNA from 1 species